rnacentral:snRNA from 1 species
GGAUGUGAGGGCGAUCUGGCUGUGUCAUCUGUCACCCCAUUGAUCGCCAGGGUUGAUUCGGCUGAUCUGGCUGGCUAGGCGGGUGUCCCCUUCCUCCCUCACCGCUCCAUGUGCGUCCCUCCUGAACCUGCGUGCUCAGUCGAAGAAGACGGCCUUCCCUGAAAAGAGAUGGACCGGUCUUCGGUUGAGGGUAUACGAGUAGCUGCGCUCCCCUGCUAGAACCUCCAAACAAGCUCUUAAGAAUUAUGAUUUAAAAUGAAUUUUAUAUAAAUUUUUUGGUGUUUGGAUUAAAUAAUGUUUUUAAGUACUGAAAUAU